rnacentral:rRNA from 1 species
GACGAACGCUGGCGGCGUGCUUCACACAUGCCAGUCGAACGCAGUGGCGAACGGGUGAGUAAUACGUGGGUACCCUGCCCUCCUUUUUGGGAUAAGCCUUGGAAACGGGGUCUAAUACCGACUACAGGGGGAUGGGCUUGCGCCCUAUCAGCUUGUUGGUGGGGUGCUGGCCUACCAAGGCGGUGACGGGUAGCCGGCCUGAGAGGUGGACCGGCUACAUUGGGACUGAGAUAGGGCCCAGACUGUUACGGGAGGCAGCAGUGGGGGGUAGUGGGGGAUGGGCGAAAGGCGGAUGCAGAGACGCCGGGUGGGGGAUGAAGGCUUUGGGGUUGUAAACGGCGUUCGCGAUCGAAAGGGUAGGUGGAGAAGAAGCGCCGGGUAAGUACGUGCCAGCAGCCGCGGUAAUAC